rnacentral:tRNA from 1 species
GCGAACACUAGCUCAGUUGGUAGAGGGCAACCUUGCCAAGGUUGAGGUCACGAGUUCGAACCUCGUGUGUCGCUCCA